rnacentral:rRNA from 1 species
CAGUCGCCACGGGAAUACGGAGGGUGCAAGCGUUAAUCGGAAUUACUGGGCGUAAAGCGCACGCAGGCGGUCUGACAAGUCAGAUGUGAAAUCCCCGGGCUUAACCUGGGAACUGCAUUUGAAACUGUCAGGCUGGAGUCUUGUAGAGGGGGGUGGAAUUCCAGGUGUAGCGGUGAAAUGCGUAGAGAUCUGGAGGAAUACCGGUGGCGAAGGCGGCCCCCUGGACAAAGACUGACGCUCAGGUGCGAAAGCGUGGAGCAAACAGGAUUAGAUACCCCUGUAGUCCCUGUCUCUUAUACAC